rnacentral:rRNA from 1 species
GGCCUACCAUGGUGGUAACGGGUAACGGGGUGUUAGGGCACGACACCGGAGAGGGAGCCUGAGAAACGGCUACCACAUCCAAGGAUGGCAGCAGGCGCGCAAAUUAUCCAAUCCCGACACGGGGAGGUAGUGACAAUAAAUAACAAUACGGGGUUCUUUAGGAUCUCGUAAUUGGAAUGAGUACAAUUUAAAUCUCUUAACGAGGAACAAUUGGAGGGCAAGUCUGGUGCCAGCAGCCGCGGUAAUUCCAGCUCCAAUAGCGUAUAUUAAAGUUGUUGCAGUUAAAAAGCUCGUAGUUGAAUUUCGGGGUUAGUAAGUUGGUCAUGCCUUUGGUAUGCACUGGCUUUACUGAUUCCUCCUUCUUGACGAACCAUGAUGUCAUUAAUUUGGUGUUGCGGGAAAUCAGGACUGUUACUUUGAAAAAAUUAGAGUGUUUAAAGCAGGCUAACGCUUGAAUACAUUAGCAUGGAAUAAUGAAAUAGGACGUUAAUCCUAUUUUGUUGGUUUCUAGGAUCGACGUAAUGAUUAAUAGGGAUAGUUGGGGGCAUUAGUAUUCAAUUGUCAGAGGUGAAAUUCUUGGAUUUAUUGAAGACUAACUACUGCGAAAGCAUUUGCCAAGGAUGUUUUCAUUAAUCAAGAACGAAAGUUAGGGGAUCGAAGACGAUCAGAUACCGUCGUAGUCUUAACCAUAAACUAUGCCGACUAGGGAUCGGAUGAUGUUAAUUCUUUAAUGACUCAUUCGGCGCCUUACG